rnacentral:rRNA from 1 species
GACAGAGGGUGCAAACGUUGUUCGGAAUUACUGGGCGUAAAGCGCGUGUAGGCGGUCGUGCAAGUCGGGUGUGAAAGCCCUCGGCUCAACCGGGGAAGUGCACUCGAAACUGCAUGACUAGAGUCUCGGAGAGGAUAGUGGAAUUCUCGGUGUAGAGGUGAAAUUCGUAGAUAUCGAGAAGAACACCGGUGGCGAAGGCGGCCAUCUGGACGGUGACUGACGCUGAGACGCGAAAGCGUGGGGAGCAAACAGG